GUCCUCGUAGUACAAUGGAUAGUACGACGGCCUCCUAAGCUGUAAAUGCAGGUUCGAUUCCUGCCGGGGACGCCA
rnacentral:tRNA from 1 species